UAAUAAGUGUUUUAUGGCACUUUUUAAAGUCCAUAUCCACCUUGUGUGCAAUGUCAGUCGAUCUUCUUCAUGGAGAUCGACCAAACAUCAACCUUUAUCUUUCUAACUCUUUGUCUGAAAAAUAUUAUGAAUAAACAAUUCAAAAUA
rnacentral:misc_RNA from 1 species